AGAAACUGAGGCUCAGAAGCGUUCGGCCACGUGCAUGCAUUGCCUUUCCCAUUGGUGCUCCAUCGCCAGUAAUGGAUAAGUAAUAAGUAAUAAGGUGCAUUGGAAAUUCAAAUUUCAGUGAUUCUGACUCUCCUGGAACCUGAGAACCACCAGUCUACGGGAACAGAGCCCUGCUUUGGGUCAGGCGGGGUUUCGCCGGGCUGGUCUCCGCUCCUGACCGCGAGU
rnacentral:lncRNA from 10 species